ensembl:lncRNA
AGACUGAACGGGCAGAUUCACACACACAAAAGCAGUGCCGAUGCAUCAGAAGGAAUCAUGGGCCAUCAAUGCUGCUGAGGAUCUACUUCAAAGAGUGCUAUGCUUCAAAUUGGACUCGAGACAGAAGGAUGUACUACUCUGUAGGAGUACUUUACUUUGAUCACCUUCUAAUGAAGAGAUUCUCCGGCAUUGCCACCUGUCAUGCUGCCAUCCUGCCACAUAAUGCACUUUCUACAGAAGAAUCACCUGAAGUUAUCUGUGGAAAGCCAUUUGUGAUUGUAAAAUUACCAGCCAAGAGGAUUAAAAGUGUUAAAGUUUUGGGUAUGUCCAGGCAAUUGCCUCGUGCAGUUCUUUGGAAUAGUCACCAUACUGUGUUUGUCAAACGCUCCACAGUCAAGGUAAGACCUGUACACUGUAUAAUCAAAUUUUGCUGCCAUGUUUUUGUUGUCUCUUAAAUUUUACAAUGUAUUAAUUUUGCUACCUCUCUAAAGGAUGGUAUUUUCCGGCUGGAUUAUCUUGAUGUGGCUGGAAAAUUGCAGACAGUCAUGUUGUCCUGUGUUCAACAGACGUUUAAAAAGGACAUCAGAAAACGAAGACAAAACCCUUUUGAUUUUAUUCGGGAAUAUGAUUCAGUACCUACUGUUGGGGCAAAUUUAGGUCUUUUGGACUUUGAAGUCAAACCCACUGUUCCUUGUGGGGAAUUUGAAAAAACACCUAAAACGACCCAAAUGAUGCUUGCAUCCAGCACAACAACAUUUUCAGACCCCAGUACAUGGACAAACACAAAUCCCUUUAGGUCACCUGAGAUAACUAUUGGAACAACCCAGAAAGCAGAAACCUCAAGUGCUGCUACACAGUCAAGUGGAAUGACCAAAACUGUAACUUCUGUUGUUGAUGCUGAUGCAGAAUUUGGGACCGAUUUUUAUGUCAAACCCACUGUUCCAUGUGGGGAAUUUGAAGAAACUCCUAAAACUACCCAAAGGAUACUUCCAUCCAGCACACCUAUACAUCCUAAUCCCACUUCAUGGGCAAACGUAGAUCCCUUCAGGCCACCAGAUAUAACUCUUUGUACUACCAAAGAAGGGGAAUCCUCAAAUGCAGCUACACAACCAGACAGGAUCACCAAAACUGCAACUCCUGUUGUUGAUGCCGAUGUAGAGUUUGGGACCGAUUUUGACCUUUCCACACCCACUGUUCCAUGUGGGGAACUUGAAAAAAACCUUAAAACUACCCAAAGAACACUUUCAUCAAGUAUUCCCACUCAAACAGGCCAGUCUACAUUGAAAAGCACAAGACAUGACUCUGAAUGGGGUUUCUCGGAUAUCCCAUUGACUCCUUUGAGUUCUGCAGAAACAACUCACUCAGUUAGCUCAACAGAAAUUAUAUUGAAAACAUUCACACCUGUUAUGACAACUGCUGGAGCAACAACCUUACCUGAGACCAUGCCUUAUUUAACAUCUGUUGCUGGAACCACAAUAGCUCUGAUAACAACUUCUGCUGAAACUACUUUUCUAGACACCACUUCCAUAGAAACUACUUCUCCGAGAACUAAUACUGCUGAAAUAAUGCCCUCCAUUAGUUCAACAAUAAAUAUUUUAGGAGCAUCCACAAAUGUAAUGACAACUGUUGGAGCAACAAUCUCACCUGACCCAACACCUGCCGCAACGUUUGCUGUUGAAACCACAAUGGCUAAAACUACCACAGAGACUGCAACCCUUGCCACCACUGCUGAAGAAACUACUAACUUUGUCACCUCUUCUGCUGACAAUACAUCCUUAGUUAGUUCAACAGGAAUAGUAUUGGAAACGUUGACACCAGUAAUGACCACUGCUGGAAAAACAACUGCAGCUUUAACCAAGCCUGGCUUAACAUCUGCUAUUGAAUCAACAAUGAAUCAAACUAGCGCUCCUUCAGAAACUACUACCCUUGGCAUCACUUCUGUUGAAAGCACAACCCAGAGAACCACUUCUGCAGGACCUUCUACCCUUGGAGCCACUUCUGUAGAAAGCACAACCCUGGGCACAACUUCUGCAGAAACAACAUCCUCUAUAAGUUCAACAGGAAUCUUGGAAACAUCCAUGCUUGUAAUGACAACUGCUCAGACAAUGGCAUCCAGCUUAACUACCCCUGCCUUAACAUCUGCUGUUGAAACCACAUUGGCUCAAACUACCCAUUUUACAGAAAUUAGUACGCUUGAGGGCAUUUCUGCAGCAAGUACCUCACUUGACACCCCUUUUGUAGGAAGUACAACCUUGGGCACAACCUCUGCUGAAUCUACUACCCUUGGCAUCACUUAUGCAAAAACCACUUCUACUUCUGUAGAAAGCACAACCCUGGGCACGACUUCUGGAGAAACUACCACCACUUCUGUAGAAACCACAAGCCUGGGCACAACCUCUGCUGAAUCUACUACCCUUGGCAUCACUUCUGCAGAAACCAUUUCUACUUCUGUAGAAAGCACAACCCUGGGCAUGACUUCUGCAGAAACGGCUACCCGUGGCAUCACUUCUGCAGAAACUACUACCAUUUCUGUAGAAAGAACAACCCUAGGCACAACUUCUGCAGAAACGGCUACCCUUGGCAUCACUUCUGCAGAAACUACUACCACUUCUGUAGAAAGCACAACCCUGGGUAUGACUUCUGCAGAAACUAUUACCCUUGGCAUCACUUCCACAGAAAUUCCUACCACUUCUGAAAAAAGAACAACCCUGGAAACUAUUACGUUUGGCACCACUUCUGUAGAAAGCACAACCCUGGGCACAACUUCUGCAGAAACGGCUACCCUUGGCAUCACUUCUGCAGAAACUACUACCAUUUCUGUAGAAAGAACAAUCCUAGGCACAACUUCUGCAGAAACUACUACCAUUUCCGUAGAAAGAACAACCCUGGGAACCACUGCUGCAGAAACUGCUACCCUUGGCUCUACUUCUGCAGCAAGUACCUCACUUGUCACACCUAUUGUAGAAAGCACAACCCUUGGUGCCACUACUGCAGAAAAAACAUCCUCUGCAAGUUCAAAAGGAAUCUUGGAAACAUCCAUGCUUGUAAAAACAAAUGCUGGAACAACAGCAACUACUCCUGCUUCAACAUCUGCAGUUGAAACCACAAUGGCUCAAACUACCACUCCUGCAGAAACUAUUACCCUUGACACCACUUCUGCGGCAAGUACCUUACUUGUCACCCCUUUUGUAGAAAGCACAACCCUUGGCACCACUUCUGCAGAAAAAACAUCCUCUGCAAGUUCAACAGGAAUCUUGGGAACAUCCACGCUUGUAACAACUGCUGGAACAACAAUGCCUGGCUCAACAUCUGCAGUCGAAACCACAAUGGCUCAAACUACAUAUUUUUCAGAAAUAACUGCACUUGGCUCCACUUCUGUAGGAAGCAUUACCCUUGGCACCACUUCUGCAGAAAAAACAUCUUCUGCAAGUUCAACAGGAAUCUUGGAAACAUCCAUGCUUGUAACAACUGCUGGAACAACAGCAGGUAUGCCUGACUCCACAUCUGCAGUUGAAGUGCUUGAUGGCACUUUUGCUGAAACACCCUCAGUUAGUUCAGCAGGAACUACAGCUAUAGGCACACCUGUCUUAACGCCUGCUGUUGAAACCACAAUGGCUCAAACUACCAUUAGGCACCACUACUGUAGAAACAACUACCUUUUGCAUAACUUCUGUAAAAAACACAGUUGGUCCCUCUUUUGUAAAGGGUACCAGUUGUGCGCAAACUAGUACCCUUGGCACCAAUUUUGCUUGAAACAAAACUGUUGGAACAAACUGCUGUAGAAGCCACAAUGGCUCAAACUACCACUUCUGCAGAUAAUACUACAGAAAUUUCUACUGUUGGUACCACUUCUACAGAAAUGACAACUGCUGGAACAACAACCUCAGCUAUAAUUAUGCCUGCCUUAAAAUCUGCUGCUGAUUCCACAAUGGCUCUAAAAACUACAGCUUCUGCAAAAAUAUAUCCUACAGGUACCACUGCAAUAGAAACUAGUACUAGUACUAUGCCUGGCUUUAAUGUCUGCUGUUAAAAUCACAGUGUCUCAAACAGAAACUACUAUGGUGCCCUUAGCACCAGUUCUGCAGAAACUACAACCCUAGGCACCACUUUUACUGAAACGCUGUUAAUUCAACAGGAAAAUUUAUGGAAAUAUCCACACCAGUAAUGACACCUGCUGGAACAAUCACAUCUGAAACUACUCCUGGCUUAACAUUUGUUGAAACCACAAUGGCUCUGAAAACUCCCACUUCUAUAGAAACUAUUUUCCUAGGCACGACUUAUCCAGAAACUACUACAAUCUCGACAGUCUCUUCAAAAACUACUGCAGUAGGUAGUAUACCACUUCUUUUGAAACAAGUUCAUUUUUGCAAACAUCUACACUUUUAUAAGAGUUGGGUAGAGUACCCAGAAACUGUACUCAAGUAAAAUUAA